rnacentral:rRNA from 1 species
UCUGGCGGCGAUAGCGCGGUGGUCCCACCUGACCCCAUGCCGAACUCAGCAGUGAAACGCCGUAGCGCCGAUGGUAGUGUGGGGCCUCCCCAUGCGAGAGUAGGGAACUGCCAGAC